UGUUUUAUUUUUAAUUUUAAGUAUUAGAAAACUAUGGUAUGUUCAUUUUUCAAAUAUCACUGCGUGACAAAUCAAUAAUAAAAAGUGAAAAUCUUCUUAAUGUACCAUGACAUACAUUUUUUUUUUUGUAGUAUUAUGAUCAAUAGAAUUGCUUAUUUACAAAUAGUUGUCACAUACAAUGUAUUUGUUGUUGAGUUUACUAUUUGUUAGUGUUCCUGAUGGUAAUACAAACUCAUCAACUGAUCAUUUACUUAUUGAACACAGUGUCACUCUAGAAAGUGCUGAAAAUUCAAUUCAACAUAUUGUACCAGAAUUGAUGAUAGGAGUCGGUUGCAGAGAAUGUACCAUAAGAGAAAUUGAAUAUUGUUUGUCCAAUGAUGUCAUUGAAGAUCAUUGCUGUUGCCAAAGAAAAUACCAUGAAGUAUUCCCUUACAUUGCACACACUUGCUAUGUAAGAUCUAGAAAUUGUGAACCUACUGUUCGGGACUGUGGAGUUUUCGAUCGACUAUUGACUUGUUGUUGCCAUCAAUAUCUUGGAACUAAAUUUCCAGAAAACAGAAAAUAGUUAUAAAUCACUUUAGAAUAGGCCAUACCUCAAUCAUUCAUCGGCAUCUAUCAUGACAGAAGAGAAGCAUACCAAAUGCCACACGUACGGAAAUCUCAUGCAAUAACUAUAUAAUAAUAUAAUAUAGCGUUUAUUCCAUGAGAUUAAAUCUGGCCGUUAUCGUGUUGGCCGAACUGCUAGAUGUCUUGACGACCACAGCUUUACCACAGAAUAGAACACUUUGUUUCCGG